rnacentral:lncRNA from 1 species
GAUUCUGUCAAUGACCGCAUCAUCCGGGAGAUUAACUCCCAGCUGAGUCAAGCGGUUAUGCAACCCAGACAUAGUGAGUAUGUGCUCACUGACAGAACUGUUUUCCUCCAUCUUACAGCUGAAGAAUUUGUCGGAGACUUCAUAUCUCUCGACCCGGGCAUGAGCUUGGAAAACCAUUUUCAGCUCUUCGAACAUCUCAUAUGCUCCAUGUCUCUCAAAACGCUUUUGGAGCCCCGGCUCUAGGCUGUAAAGCAUGCCGCACUGAACGAGGGAGUAGUCAUCGGAACGUGCCUGCCAAGCGUUCAUAACGUCUUGUUCCGCAGGGAGAACGGGUGCGUCACCAAGCGGUGCUUGUAGGACAUAAUCUUUCUUGGCAGCUAUGAGGAUGAUCCUCAGGUUCCGGACCCAGUCCGUAUAGUUGCUUCCAUCGUCUUUCAGCUUGGUUUUCUCUAGGAACGCGUUGAAGUUGAGGACUACGUUGGCCAUUUGAUCUACAAGACAUAUUGCAAAGAUUUUAGACUAAGUUCAUGAUAAUUAAGUUCAUCUAAUCAAAUUAUAAUGAACUCCCACUCAGAUUUGACAUCCCUUUGGUCAUCUAAGUGUUACACGAUCCGAGUCGACUAGGCCGUGUCCGAUCAUCACGUGAGACGGACUAGUCAUCGUCGGUGAACAUUCUCAUGUAGAUCGUAUCUUCCAUACGACUCGUGUUCGACCUUUCGGUCUCCGUGUUCCGAGGCCAUGUCUGUACAUGCUAGGCUCGUCAAGUUAACCCUAAGUGUUUUCGCUGUGUAAAACUGUCUUACACCCGUUGUAUGUGAACGUAAGAAUCUAUCACACCCGAUCAUCACGUGGUGCUUCGAAACGACGAACUGUAGCAACGGUGCACAGUUAGGGGAGAACACUUCUUGAAAUUUUGUAAGGGAUCAUCUUAUUUACUACCGUCGUUCUAAGUAAACAAGAUGCAUAAAACAUAAUAAACAUCACAUGCAAUUAUAUAAAGUAGUGACAUGAUAUGGCCAAUAUCAUAUAGCUCCUUUGAUCUUCAUCUUCGGGGCUCCAUGAUCAUCUUGUCACCGGCAUGACACCAUGAUCUCCAUCAUCAUGAUCUCCAUCAUCGUGUCUUCAUGAAGUUGUCACGCCAACGACUACUUCUACUUCUAUGACUAACGCGUUUAGUAAUAAAGUAAAAUAGUUUACAUGGCGUUCUUUAAUGACACGCAGGUCAUACAAAAAAUAAAGACAACUCCUAUGGCUCCUGCCGGUUGUCAUACUCAUCGACAUGCAAGUCGUGAUUCCUAUUACAAUAGCAUGAACAUCUCAUACAUGACAUAUAGAUCAUUCAUCAUUCAUCACAACUUUGGCCAUAUCAUAUCACAAAGCACUUGCUGCAAAAACAAAUUAGACGUCCUCUAAUUGUUGUUUGCAAGUUUUACGUGGCUGAAGUAGGGUUCUAGCAAGAACGUUUUCUUACCUACGUGAAACCACAACGUGAUUUGUCAACUUCUAUUUACCCUUCAUAAGGACCCUUUUCAUCGAAUCCGCUUCAACUAAAGUGGGAGAGACAGACACCCGCCAGCCACCUUAUGCAACUUGUGCAUGUUAGUCGGUGGAACCGGUCUCACGUAAGCGUACGUGUAAGGUUGGUCCGGGCCGCUUCAUCCUACAAUACCGCUGAAGCAAGAUAAGACUAGUAGCGGCAAGAAAGUUGACAAAUCUACGCCCACAACCAAUUGUGUUCUACUCGUGCAAGAAGAACUACGCAUAGACCUAGCUCAUGAUGCCACUGUUGGGUAACGUUGCAGAAAAUAAAAUUUUCCUACUCGUUUCACCAAGAUCAUCUAGGAGUUCAUCUAGCAACGAGUGAAUAGAUGCAUCUACAUACCUUGUAGAUCGCAAGCGGAAGCGUUCAAAGAACGGGGAUGAUGUAGUCGAACACGACGUGAUUCGAAUCACCGGAGAUCCUAGCACCGAACGGACGGCACCUCCGCGUUCAACACACGUAUGGAACAGCCACGUCUCCUCCUUCUUGAUCCAGCAAGGGAGGGAGGAGAGGUUGAGGGAGAUGGCACCAGCAGCAGCACGACGGCGUGGUGUUGAUGGAGCUGCAGUACUCCGGCAGAGCUUCGCUAAGCAAUAAGGAGGUGGAGGAGGUGUUGGGGAGGGAGAAGGAGGCAACCAAAGGCCAAGGACUCAAGGUAUGAAGUCCCUCCUCUCCCCCACUAUAUAUAGGGGUGCCAAGGGGGGGUGUCCGGCCCUAGGAGAUCCAAUCUCCUAGGGGGUGCGGCGGCCAGGGGGGGUUUCCCUCCCCCCCAAGGCACCUAGGAGGUGCCUUACCCUCCUAGGACUCUUUCCCCCUUAAACCCUAGGCGCAUGGGCCUAUGUGGGGCUGGUGCCCUUGGCCCAAGCAGGCCAAGGCGCACCCCCUACAGCCCAUGUGGCCCCCGGGGAUGGGUGGCCCCACCCGGUGGGCCCCCGGGACCCCUCCGGUGGUCCCGGUACAAUACCGAUAACCCCGAAACUUGUCCCGAUGCCCGAAACAGGACUUCCCAUAUAUAAAUCUUUACCUCCGGACCAUUCCGGAACUCCUCGUGACGUCCGGGAUCUCAUCCGGGACUCCGAACAACAUUCGGGUUACUGCAUAUACAUAUCCCUACAACCCUAGCGUAACUGAACCUUAAGUGUGUAGACCCUACGGGUUCGGGAGACAUGUAGACAUGACCGAGAUCGCUCUCCGGUCAAUAACCAACAGCGUGAUCUGGAUACCCAUGUUGGCUCCCACACGCUCCACGAUGAUCUCAUCGGAUGAACCACGAUGUCGAGGAUUUAAUCAACCCCGUAUGCAAUUCCCUUUGUCAAUCGAUAUGUUACUUGCCCGAGAUUCGAUCGUCGGUAUCCCAAUACCUCGUUCAAUCUUGUUACCGGCAAGUCACUUUACUCGUACCGUAAUGCAUGAUCCCGUGACCAAACACUUGGUCACUUUGAGCUCAUUAUGAUGAUGCAUUACUGAGUGGGCCCAGUGAUAUCUCUCCGUCAUACGGAGUGACAAAUCCCAGUCUCGAUCCAUAUAAAACAAUAGAUACUUUCGGAGAUACCUGUAGUGCACCUUUAUAGUCACCCAGUUACGUUGUGACGUUUGAUACACCCAAAGCACUCCUACGGUAUCCAGGAGUUAUACGAUCUCAUGGUCGAAGGAAGAGAUACUUUGACAUUGCAAAACUCUAGCAAACGAACUAUACGAUCUUGUGCUAUGUUUAGGAUUGGGUCUUGUCCAUCACAUCAUCAUCCUAAUGAUGUGAUCCCGUUAUCAAUGACAUCCAAUGUCCAUAGCCAGGAAACCAUGACUAUCUAUUGAUCAACGAGCUAGUCAACUAGAGGCUUACUAGGGACAUGUUGGUGUCUGUUAUUCACACAUGUAUUACGAUUUCCGGAUAACACAAUUAUAGCAUGAAUAAAGACAAUUAUCAUGAACAAAGAAAUAUAAUAAUAAUGCUUUUAUUAUUGCCUCUAGGGCAUAUUUCCAACAGCCCCGAGGUCCACCUCCGUGUUUUGGAGGAGGUCCAUGAACGAGGAUGGGGUUGCCAUUUUCUCGAACACCUCGUGCGCGGCGGGAGGAGGUUCGGCCACGGCGACAAAAGGAGGUUCGGCGAUGGAGGCGGGCGGGGGCACAGGCUUCUUCCGCGGCAUCUUCACGGCCGGGGCAACCUUGGAUGGCGCCUUCGGCCGGCUCUUCUUGGUGGCCGAGGCGGGAGCCGGGGAGGCAGCGGGGGCGGGUGCCGGGGCGGUGACGGUGGCCGGGGCGGGAGCCGGGGAGGUGGGAGGAGGAGGUGCGAGGCCCUCCCACCGCCGCUUGGCCCCGACAUGGGUCGCCGCCACCACGUCGGCCACGGUCGGGUGGGCGGGCACCGGGGCGGGCGCGGNNNNNNNNNNNNNNNNNNNNNNNNNNNNNNNNNNNNNNNNNNNNNNNNNNNNNNNNNNNNNNNNNNNNNNNNNNNNNNNNNNNNNNNNNNNNNNNNNNNNNNNNNNNNNNNNNNNNNNNNNNNNNNNNNNNNNNNNNNNNNNNNNNNNNNNNNNNNNNNNNNNNNNNNNNNNNNNNNNNNNNNNGGGGCCCUCCAUGGCCGGCGCGGCAGGAGGCGACGGGAGGAGGAGGCCGGGAGGAGUAGGGAGUUUCCUCCUGCGCGAGAGAGGAGGAGGAGUGCGGGUUGGGGGGAGAUUUCCCUCUCAACCCCUACUUCUACAGGUUGCAAACUGGUUUGAGGGUUGGACCUCUAAAUUUUUUUUACGGGUUUGAGGGUUUAGAGGUUCUAGUCUACGAUGUUUUUUCGGCGAAAACUGUAAAAAAAAAACGAUUAUUUUUAGAGGUUUGAGGGCUCUACUAGACUUGCUCUUAGGCGCUGUUUGGUGAUCCACUAGCUCCGCCAAAUUUGAGGAUCUGCAGAGCACCUAUUCCCCCACUCCGAGAUUUUUAACUUGAGCUCCGCCAACUCCCGGAGCGAGAGUGUGGAGCGGAGGAGGGCCGAACAGGCCCUUAGAGCAUUACUAGUAGAGCCCUCAAACCCCCAAAUCUUUAAAAAUAACUGCUUUUUUUUUACAGUUUUUGUUGAAAAAAAGCCAUAGACUAGAACCCCUUAACCCUCAAACCCUCAAUUUUUUUAAAGGUCCAACCCUCAAACCCUCUCCCAAUCCUCAAAAGUAAGGGUUGGGGAGCAAAACCUACCCAACCCUCAUUUGGCGGUUAUCCUCGCGCGGGAGGGAAAAAUCCUCCCAACUCCCGCGCCCACGCCCGCGACCGUCGCUGCUAGUCGCCCCCGUCGCCGGCGGCCGCCCCGUCGACCUCCCGCGCGCAACGACAACGUCGUUCAUGGGGAAUAUUCCGUUAUAAGGGUUGGGUUUGAGGGUUCUAAUCUUUGUCCCUGUUUUUCAACUCGUAAAAGUGCACAAAAAAAUAUUUUUGGACCCUUAAAACGUUAGUGAGGGUUUAAGGGUUUGAGGGUUCUACUAGUAAUGCUCUAAAACUGAAUGACCGGCCAGCAGCCCAACAUUCAGCAAGCAAACCUUGCUUCAAAUAAAGGGGGAGAAGAAAGGAAAAACGGAAAGAAAGCGGCAGAAGCAGCAAACAGGACUCAUGCAGUUUUUUUUUCUUUUUUUCUUUUUGAGCAGGGACUCACGCGGGUGCAAGACCUACUGCCCGUAAAACAAAACAUAAUGUCAUGGGCCGAAGAGAUAGCUUGGUACCUUAUGGCCCAACGACCUGCUUUAAUUAACUCAGGUUGUCGCUCUGCGGCGUGAUGAGCUAAUUGUACCACAUCGGUUGUGGAGAAAUAGUUUGAGGAUGACCCGGGUAUAAGAAAGAGAUCCCUGGGAUAAGGUACACCCAUCUUUGUGCUUGGGGCAAUGAGGCAGCUAGAGAGGUUAUACCGAGGCGCGUCAAUUGCUGAUUGAAAACUAUUUCUAAACCCCCUCUUUGACUCUCACGGGUCAUUGAGAAUUUUUGGAAGGGUUCCCUCUUUGAGGGUAAAACCCCACAAAUCAAUAUGUAGAAAAAGAUUUGACAAUAUCAACUCUUUGACCUUUGCCAAAUGUGAUGUUUGGGCUGUAACUUGUGGUACCUUUCAGCCUUUUCUUUCUGAAUGGCAGUUCAAAAAACAAACUUGUAUCAAAGUAAGACUAAUACUUCAUCCGUUCACAAAUUCUCUCUCCGUUUCUAAAUAUAAGACUUUUUAGAGAAUCCAAUACAGACUAAAUGCGAAGCAAAAUGAGUGAAUCGCAAUCUAAAAUACGUCAUUAUACAUUCUGAUGUAGUCCAAAUCUCUAAAAGGCUUAUAUUUAGAAACGAGGGAGUAUAAGAUGUUUCGAAUAUUUUAUUAAUAUGGAUUAUGUACGAACUGAAAUUAGUUAACAAAUACACUAAAGUAUGCCUAUAUACAUAGGAUUUAGAAAAAAGUUAGAAUAUCUUAUGCUUAUUUAUUAACGAACGGAGUAGUAGUCUAGCUAGUACUCCUCGGUGCUUCAAAGAAGCCGUAUAUAUUUUAUCCAAAGUCAAACAGUGCAAUGUUUGACCAAUUUUGUUCAAAAUACCAUCAAGACUACAAUAUCAUAUUAGUAUUGUUGAGUAUUGUCGUGGGAAUAAAUCUGACAAUAUGUAGAGGGAUAGUGACGGAUUGUUCCAAAGAAGAGUGCUCCCUCCGUUCCAAAAUAUUUGAAGUUUUAGGUUUCUUCUAAGCCAAACUUCUUUAUGUUUGACCAAGUCUAUAGAAAAUAUACCACCAUCUAAGACACUAAGUAGUUUUAUUAAAUUCAUCUAAUGUAUAUUUGCAUACUAUAUAUGUAGUUGAUGUUGUGGAUCUUAGUAUUUUUUUUUCUAUAAACUCGGCCAAACUUAAGGGAGUUUGACUUAGAACAAACCUAGAACUUCAAAUAUUUUGAAAUGGAGGUGGUAUUCUCCAAAAAAGAAAACUACAAACUUGUACACGUGUCCACCAUUUUCAUGAAGUAUUUUAUUUCCCAAUUCAAUUUUAUGCAGCUAGGGCUACAAUGUACAGACUAAUAUAAGUCUCAAUAAAAACAAGCUGAACCACAUGCUUAAUCCCCUACAUGGACAAUUCUACAGCAAGAAGCCGUGGCCAACCAUGAUGUAAAAUCUGAAAAUGAGGAAGAAAAGAAAAAAACAGAAGUAUCAACCAUCUAUAUGCACAAAAUAAGUUAGUAAUUGCAAAAGAAUAAAAAAAAAUCUGAUUUUUGUGGAAUCAAAUAUGAUUAAGUAUUAUACUCGUAUAAAAUGUUUCACCAAGAAAUAACUCCCGUUGAACUCAGGGCAAAAAAAUCGAGGAUAAUACAGUGUGAAUAGUAUUUGUAUAUAGCAUUUGAUUUUUUUUCACCCAAAUUACAAUGAAAGUCGGUCCUUGGCAAAUCUUUUUGUACGAGUUCAAUACUUGAUCAUAUUUGAUUUAAAAAAAGUUUCAGAUUUUUUGACAUUUUUUUCAGUCACUAAAUUAUUUUAUGCAUAUAGGGUUCGCUGACACCCGGGUGCACCAGGGUAUCUUCCCAGGUCUCACGUUAUCACGUAUAGGUACAAGACCUUUUUUUUUACUCGCAAAAAACAAAGGAACAAGACCUUUUUUUCUCAAAAACAAGAGUGAAUGGAAGAGUUUUUUUUUUCUUUUUGAGAAAAAAAAGGGUGAACGCAAGAGCUACUUCAAAAGACAGGACGUACCAUGGUCUGGAAGACGCCCCUACUCCCCCGUCCUUGGACGCAGAUCUGCUGGUAUGUAAUGGCCCAAUGGGCCUUCCUGUGUCGUUGAUUGGUUAUUUUUCGAAAGAAAGAAGUAUACAAAUCACUCUCAAAUCCAUUCUUUAGGAUACAUAACCUCCUAAACUCAAAACCGAGACAAAUAACACCCUGAAAUUACUAAAAUCGGGUUAAUAACCCCCUUGAGUGGUUUCUGUCCAAUCUAGAGCGGUUUUGUCCCCAUGAUGCAGAUUACGCGCUGACUGGACAAAUUACGCUGAGAAGGUCCCAUUAGUCAGUUGUCUCUCUCAUUUCUUCCUUUUUAUCACCUCGUCUCCUCCCUUUCUUUCUUCGUCAGAGCAGCAUCGCCUCCAGAAACGCCUCUCCCCUUUCGUUCGCUAGGACUUGGCAAUCGCAGGCGCCGUCCGCCAUCCGCCGUCGCCUGCCGCUUGCUCGUCCCCGAAGGAACGAAGCCAUGUGUCCAGGUGCGUGUGCCUCCAUCUCCGCUGUCGCUGUGCUAUACUUCUGGUGUCGUUCGUCGGCGGAAUCGCGAGCUCAUACAAGUGGCAGCGCCCACCGACGAUGGCUCCAUACGUACGGCCGGCCACGCGUUUCCUCAAAUUUACUAGUCUCCCGCCUGGCGCACGACGCAUUGCCAUGGCCGAGACUGAGCCGUCCGUCGUGUAGCAGUGAAACUGUUGCGGCGCCGCGCCCUGCAUGCGCACUCUGCGGUUGUGGUCGGGCGUUCUCAGCUUGCAACAGCGCUACGUCGCCCGGUCUUUGCUGGAAGGAGGGACCAAAUUAAUAAUCAACGUUGUUGUUCUCCUACAGGAGCCCGUUGCUUUUUAUAUCCGGACGGUGAAGUUCCGAAGGAUGCUCUGGUGAUUUGCGGGAUGUUGUGUAUCGAUUGAAGGAACGGUCAAGGAAUGAAAAUGGUCUGCUAAAUGCCAGCUUGGCGAAGAACAUGAUGCUAGAUGCGUAUGUGUGUGAUUUAGAAGUCAGCAUCGUGGAGAAGUUGAUGUCCUGAAGAAGAGGAUUCAGAAACUGCAGUUGUCCUUUGUGCUUGCUCUGUUCUGCUUUGUCAUUUCACACUUUUGGAAAUGAUUGUCAUGAAGAAAAAGAAGCAUCCUGGUGAAAUUAGUCCAAUAGGGAGUCAUUUAUGUAUGUUGUUUUUCUUUGUAAGCUGUUAAGCAAAAUUCAGAAUGUAUGAUGUUAAAAAGGUUUAGAAUUUGUCUUGUAUCUUGUUAUGCAAAAUUCAGAAUUUGGUACAAUGCUUCUUGGAAGUGUUAUGAAAAUAUUUGGAAUUUGGUACAAUGCAAAAUCGCAAUGCUAUGGCUGAUCUUCUUAUGUAUAUUGUAUACUGUAUGCUGAUCUGAAAAGAUUCGGAAUAUAUGUCUGAUCUUCUUAUA